UUUCAUAGUUCUCAGUAGAAACAAGAUUUAUUGUCCGAAACGACAUAGAAUAGUUUUAUUUGGAUUUAAAGGGGAUGUAUUUUAAUAGGCAAUUCGCCAGUUAAAGUUACAAAUAACCAAACAAAUUCGACAUAUUGUCAUCCACUAUAAAUUGACCUGGCAGUUUUGCGACAUAAACUUCGUCAUAUUAUCAGAGAUUAACAUGCAAAUAUUCUUCUGUUAGACAUAAAUUAUUAAAAAAAUUUGGAAAAAAAUCAUGGGCACAGGAAUCAGAUAUAUUUAAUUACGUGUCAUGAAAACGAUAACAAAGAUGAACUGCCAGGAAUGACAUUUUACCAUAGUCAUAUUUCUUCGUCUUGAACACAAAUCUAUGUGGAUGCGUCAGCCUUCGUGCACUGCCAUUAUCAACUGUUAUGUGAGGGGUUGAAGUACAACAAGAUUUCUAUAAAAUCUUGGGACUUACAGAGAAGAUGUGCAGCAGAGAAUGAGGAAUCAUGAACCAUUCCCUGUUGGCUUAUUUGUAGUGGAAACUGUUCUAAGUAUUUAAAAUUUAGUAAAACUACUACAGACAGUAUGGAGCAUGAGAUAGAUCAGAUAAAUAGUAUGGAAAACCAGAUAGCCCAAAAUGGCUUAGUGCUCGAAGAAAAUGAGAGUUUACAAAGAAGAUUAGAGAAACUUGAAGCACUCUAUGAGGCUACAAAACGUGAACUGGAUUCCACAAGAGAGGAACUUGCCAAGGUACGGUCAGCUCAGCAUGAUGCCACAGCUGAGGGUGUAGAGACAAAGGAAACUUGUAUAUCUCGAUUGCAAAGUCAAGGCACAGCAGAACAUGAUUCAAAACAGACUGCAACAAGUACACCUGUACAGAGAAAUACUCAUAAAAUAUUUGUGGGAAAUCUGAGUGACUAUACAACUCGCUCAGAAAUUCGACAACUCUUUGAAGCUCAUGGAACUGUAGUUGAGGCAGACAUAGUGAAAAACUAUGGGUUUGUGCACAUGGAGACAGAAGAGGAAUGCCGGUCUGCCAUUGAUGCCUUGGAUGGCUACAUGCUUCAUGGAAAGGUAAUGGAUGUAAAGGCUUCCACUACUGAGAGGAAGGGUCAUGGUGACCAACAGAGCACAAGUUCUUCUGCAGUGAGUGGCAGUGUGACUUCCACAAAGGGAGAUUCCUUCAAGAUAUUUGUUGGGAACCUCAGUGACCACACUACAAGCUUAGACCUCCGAGAAGUUUUUGAAGUUUAUGGUACUGUGGUGGAGGCAGAUGUUGUGAAAAACUAUGGUUUUGUCCACAUGGAAAAGAAAGAAGAGGGCCUUGCAGCAAUCAAAGCAGUAAAUUGUCAUAUGCUUCGUGGAAAGCCAAUUGUUGCCGAGGCCUCCACUGGUACUAGGAAAGGUGGCAACCAAACACCGAAAAUUUUUAUUGGCAACGUUCACAGGAAUUGUGGACGUGAGGAGCUGAAGAGUCUCUUUGAAAAGUAUGGCAAGGUGGUAGAGGUCGGCAUUCUUACCAACUAUGCAUUUGUUCAUAUGGAUGAUGAUGCUCAGGCCCAGAAAGCAAUUCGAGAAUUGGAUGGGCAUGAGCUGCAUGGUAUGCGUCUGACAGUGCAAAAGUCAACUUCACGUGGCAGACAGGCUGGAGGUGGAUACUCAGACCAGGGCUUCAGCUUUGGACCUGUUCGAUAUGAACCUUAUCCACCACCACCUCCUCACAGAUAUGUCAGAGACCGCAUGAUACGAGACAGGGACAUGUAUGAACCACGCUUACCACCUGUACUUCCUUAUCCCGAUUACCCGCAACAUGGACGAUAUCCACAACCAUCUCGCUUCCCGCCACCCCCUCCAUCUUUGCGUGGGAAUUGGCGGGCGAGGGGUGGAAGCGAUGUUAGCAGCCGCACUCAAUGUUUCACUGUCCAGUGUCGUAUGUGGGUCUAGGCUACUCUACUUUCAUCUUGUAGUGUACUAUUGUACCUCCAUUUCCACCUCCAUCAAUGCGGAGUUACACCCCAUCUGACCGUCGGCCGUACUAAGCGCUCACGUAUCCCGGAAAUGUCGCUGCCGAACCUCCGAUCGUUGGUGCGGACACCGUAGUAAUGGGUCACUGUAUAUUUGUAACAUUUGUUGUAGCGUCCGUGUCGGCUUCGUCAUGGCAAUGCCGUGCCACACUUGUCAUACUACCUGGGAUGGGCUCCUGAAGCACAUUUAUGAUAACCCCAAUGUCAUUACCCUCUAAAUGAUAUACUAAAUUCAAUCGAUUUUUUUCCAGUGUUAGUUACUAAAAUCGUUCAGCCUUCUCAGUUAGGAUUAGUCAGGAUUUCUUAAGUUUAAUUUUUAUUAUUUUCUAUGUAAUGUAGGCUACAUGCUAUGACUGGUACACAAUUAUCAUGAAUAAAAGCAGAAUUUAUA